AAAAUGUGAAAAGCUUGAGAAAUGGGUAUGAAAAAAGGAAAUCUGAAACGUAAAAGGGUUUAAAGAAAAGGUUUAUGGGUAUUUAUAGGAAGAAGAUGUUGAAACGUUUUAGAUGGUAAUGGUGUUAGUGGGACACGUGGCCAUUUCUGAUGGAAAUGAUAAAGAGGUGGAAGUUGAAAAGAAACCAUGAUGUGAGGAAAU
rnacentral:lncRNA from 1 species